ACACAUUACAAAUUAUUUUUUGACAAUUUGGUAUAGAAUAUAAAUAACAGCUACGCGUUAUUCUUAUAAGUCAAUGGUUGUACACCUGCCGUAGCAACCAAUGUUUUUACUUAGUUUAAAAUUACUUGCUACCAGUGUUAGGGGUAGUAUAAGUACUUUCCUAAACUACAAAAUACGUAUUUAAUAUCGUACGAUUAAGUAAAAGUAAUGUUAAAUAUAACUGCACAGUGUAAAGUAUAAAUUAUGUUGGAAACACGUUCAGCUGUUUAUAAAAUGUUAGAAGUGGCGCGCAAAGAGCGACAGAUUGAUAACUGGCCACCACCAUUUUCUUCGGAUAUUACAUUAUACAACGAAAGAAAUUUCGAUACAAUUGUUAGACAAUCGUGCAUGAGAAAGUGUAUAACUUUGAAAAUUUCUAAGGCAAUAGUAAUAGGAGAUGUUUCAGUUGGAAAAUCAUGCCUAAUAAAUCGAUUUUGUCACAAAGUAUUUGACAAUAACUACAAAGCAACAAUUGGUGUGGAUUUUGAGGUAGAAAGGUUUGAUAUUCUGGGCAUACCAUUUCACUUACAAAUAUGGGACACAGCUGGCCAAGAAAGAUUUAAGUCUAUAGCUGCAGCUUAUUAUAGAGGGGCAAACGUGAUCAUGGUUGUGUUUGAUCUGGCCAACUUGCUAUCUUUAGGACAUUGUCAACAAUGGUUCAGUGAAGCUGCUCAAUGUAACAGGGAACCAUAUCAUGUGUUUUUAAUAGGCACCAAACGUGACUUACUGUCGAAUCAGGUAUACGAGGUAAUUGAAAAACGAGCGGCAGAAAUAGCGCGAAAAAUGAAAGCCGAGUUUUGGGUCGUUUCUGCAAGAACAGGUGACGGGGUUUCAGAAUUAUUUACAAGAGUUGCAGUACUAUCUUUUCACAGUAUGGUUCUUCAUGAAUUGCAAAAUAUGAAACCAGAAUCAAUUAGCAUUGGCUCAGACCUGAUAAAAUUAAAUCCUCAAAAGGAAAAAAUUCAGAGGAAGAGAAGAAACAAAUGCAUUAAUUGCACGAAUAUAUAAAAUAACAUUAAUGGUUAUGCGCAACGAUAGCCGAAGUGUAAGUGUAAAAUCAAAAACAUGAACUUGAAUUUUAGUUUCUAUUUCAGUAACGUUUUAUUAUAGUAGUAUAAUUUAAAUAGACCGCGCACAAAAUAAUCUUCCGGCUGGGUAUGGGUGAGUGGACUCAUCCGAUGAUUCUUCUUCGUUCUUCGCGUUAUUCUAUCCUCUUUUGAACUCAGAUUAGCUCAGAUACUUCACGCAACCGGAAAAGAUACGUUCUGCUGACAGUUCGGGAGGUAGUCGGCUACACGAUCGGAUUAGAAGAAAUCAUUUCUUGUGUUCGAUGUCGACGUGUCUAAUACGCAUACUCUAUUAGGUACGUCGAUUUUCACUAUAGUGAUACCAACGUUUUUUUCAAGUGAGUUCAACGUACCGAGACAAAAAUUGAAAUAAGAACUAGUGUUGUCACGUGGUUAUUGCUUGCCUUGGAUUUUCUUCUAGAAAAAGAAUAGAUUAAUUCGUAAUCAAAAUUUGAUUCAUCCGAAGACGAUUCCUUAGAUUGCGUCAAUUUCCGUGUUGGAAAAAUUAAAUACAAUCCUACUGUCGUGACGAAAGUAAGCGAGCCAUCAACUGAACAGAUGAACGAAUAAACGUCACUAAGAUGACAGCGGUGUUGCUUAUGCGUGCGUGUGGGUAUUAUGUGUAUAGUGUAUGCUUCUACGUGCCAUUCGAUAAUGUCACGUAUGCACAGAUACACAGGGUCGUUCGGUAAUGACUUGCCACUUCUCGGUUCUCCACGUGACGAGGACGUGCAGCGUCGAUUCUUCAGCAUAACAUCACGAACCUGCCACCAGUGAUCAUUGUCUUGUGAACGUGUAUUUUCCAGAAUUCGUAGUGAUCG